rnacentral:rRNA from 1 species
AAAUUGAAGAGUUUGAUCAUGGCUCAGAUUGAACGCUGGCGGCAGGCCUAACACAUGCAAGUCGAACGGUAACAGGAAACAGCUUGCUGUUUCGCUGACGAGUGGCGGACGGGUGAGUAAUGUCUGGGAAACUGCCUGAUGGAGGGGGAUAACUACUGGAAACGGUAGCUAAUACCGCAUAACGUCGCAAGACCAAAGAGGGGGACCCUCGGGCCUCUUGCCAUCGGAUGUGCCCAGAUGGGAUUAGCUUGUUGGUGGGGUAACGGCUCACCAAGGCGACGAUCCCUAGCUGGUCUGAGAGGAUGACCAGCCACACUGGAACUGAGACACGGUCCAGACUCCUACGGGAGGCAGCAGUGGGGAAUAUUGCACAAUGGGCGCAAGCCUGAUGCAGCCAUGCCGCGUGUAUGAAGAAGGCCUUCGGGUUGUAAAGUACUUUCAGCGGGGAGGAAGGGAGUAAAGUUAAUACCUUUGCUCAUUGACGUUACCCGCAGAAGAAGCACCGGCUAACUCCGUGCCAGCAGCCGCGGUAAUACGGAGGGUGCAAGCGUUAAUCGGAAUUACUGGGCGUAAAGCGCACGCAGGCGGUUUGUUAAGUCAGAUGUGAAAUCCCCGGGCUCAACCUGGGAACUGCAUCUGAUACUGGCAAGCUUGAGUCUCGUAGAGGGGGUAGAAUUCCAGGUGUAGCGGUGAAAUGCGUAGAGAUCUGGAGGAAUACCGGUGGCGAAGGCGGCCCCCUGGACGAAGACUGACGCUCAGGUGCGAAAGCGUGGGGAGCAAACAGGAUUAGAUACCCUGGUAGUCCACGCCGUAAACGAUGUCGACUUGGAGGUUGUGCCCUUGAGGCGUGGCUUCCGGAGCUAACGCGUUAAGUCGACCGCCUGGGGAGUACGGCCGCAAGGUUAAAACUCAAAUGAAUUGACGGGGGCCCGCACAAGCGGUGGAGCAUGUGGUUUAAUUCGAUGCAACGCGAAGAACCUUACCUGGUCUUGACAUCCACGGAAGUUUUCAGAGAUGAGAAUGUGCCUUCGGGAACCGUGAGACAGGUGCUGCAUGGCUGUCGUCAGCUCGUGUUGUGAAAUGUUGGGUUAAGUCCCGCAACGAGCGCAACCCUUAUCCUUUGUUGCCAGCGGUCCGGCCGGGAACUCAAAGGAGACUGCCAGUGAUAAACUGGAGGAAGGUGGGGAUGACGUCAAGUCAUCAUGGCCCUUACGACCAGGGCUACACACGUGCUACAAUGGCGCAUACAAAGAGAAGCGACCUCGCGAGAGCAAGCGGACCUCAUAAAGUGCGUCGUAGUCCGGAUUGGAGUCUGCAACUCGACUCCAUGAAGUCGGAAUCGCUAGUAAUCGUGGAUCAGAAUGCCACGGUGAAUACGUUCCCGGGCCUUGUACACACCGCCCGUCACACCAUGGGAGUGGGUUGCAAAAGAAGUAGGUAGCUUAACCUUCGGGAGGGCGCUUACCACUUUGUGAUUCAUGACUGGGGUGAAGUCGUAACAAGGUAACCGUAGGGGAACCUGCGGUUGGAUCACCUCCUUACCUUAAAGAAGC